UUUUCAGCAGUGGCCUAUAAACUUCAUGAGUUUGGACUGACUAGAAACACUGCCAUCAGGAUGCAGACAGUUACGAAAAUGAUGUAGAAGGUGAAGACAGCACAGUCAUUGCACUGAAAGGGCUUUCUAUCUAUUUGGGGAGAAGACAACCACUGCCAAAUGUCAAAGAGGGAAAUAAUUUGAGCCAUGAAAUCUUGCUAGAUGGCAGGUAUCACCUUUUCCUGCCCUAUUGGAAAUGUCAUGAAAUAAUGGAGAAGUAUUCCUUCCUUCUGCAAACUACUGAAGAAGUUAGAUCUACAUAAGGGCUCUACCAUACAUUUACCACCAUUAUGUGAAGAGAUUGCAUGCAUUUACAAACUGAGGAAGACCAAGCGACCUCAAUCACAAGAGCCAUUCUUCCUUUUCUUUCACAUUUUACUCCUUUUUAAGUUAAAAUAUAA
rnacentral:lncRNA from 1 species